UACGUAGGUGGCAAGCGUUGUCCGGAUUUACUGGGCGUAAAGAGCGCGCAGGCGGUUGGGUAAGUCGAAUGUGAAAGCCCCCGGCUCAACUGGGGAGGGUCAUUCGAUACUGUCCGACUCGAAGGCAGGAGAGGGAAGCGGAAUUCCCGGUGUAGUGGUGAAAUGCGUAGAUAUCGGGAGGAACACCAGUGGCGAAGGCGGCUUUCUGGCCUGUUCUUGACGCUGAGGCGCGAAAGCGUGGGGAGCGAUCCGG
rnacentral:rRNA from 1 species